GCAAGAUUUGAUUUUUCAUGGGGUGAUUCAGAGUAUCACCAGGAGACUUUGGAGAACUUGAAGGCAUCUAUUAAAGCUACUAAGAAGCUCUGUGCUGUCAUGCUAGAUACCGUGGGUGCUGAGUUGCAGGUUGUCAACAAACGUGAGACACCUAUUUCACUUAAGGAAGAUGCAAUUGUUACUCUGACUCCUCAUCAAGGUCAAGAAGCAUCUAAUGAAGUGUUGCCAAUUAACUUUGGCGGAUUAGCCAAGGCUGUAAAGAAGGGAGACACCAUUUUUGUUGGUCAGUACCUCUUCACCGGAAGCGAAACAACAUCUGUUUGGCUGGAGGUAGACCAAGUGAAUGGGGAUGAUGUCAUUUGCGUGGUAAAGAACUCUGCCACUUUAGCUGGGUCAUUGUUCACCCUGCAUGCUUCUCAGGUUCAUAUUGAUAUGCCUACCCUCACGGAUAAAGACAAAGAGGUUAUAAGCACAUGGGGUGUUCAAAACAAGAUAGACUUUAUUUCACUAUCAUAUACAAGGCAUGCUGAGGAUGUCCGUGAGGCCCGUGAGUUCUUAUCUAAGCUGGGUGAUCUAAGUCAGACACAGAUAUUUGCUAAAAUUGAAAAUGUUGAGGGUUUGACUCAUUUUGAUGAGAUUCUCAAGGAGGCUGAUGGGAUCAUCCUUUCU
rnacentral:misc_RNA from 1 species